CGCGCGCAGCCUCAGUUCCCGCCUGUGCCUCUCCCUCCACACCUCCCCGCAAGCAGAGGGAGCAGGCUCCGGCCUUGGCCAGCCCACAGACGGGCUCCCACAGUGCAGCGGUGGGGCGAAAGGCCCCUCAAGCGCGGCCAGAGUGGACGUCCAGGCCGAGGAGACACGGAGAGCGAGCAAGGGCUGCCAGCACGCUGUCACUUCUUAUUAAGGUGUUCGUUUGGGUGGAAAGUAUGUACUGUUUAUGCUGAAGUAAGAAUUUUAUUUUAUAUAACAUAGUUCUUGUUAUAAAUUAAUAAACUAACAUUCUGAU